rnacentral:rRNA from 1 species
AGUGAACGCUGGCGGUAGGCCUAACACAUGCAAGUCGAACGGCAGCACAGUUAGUGCUUGCUCUUACGGGUGGCGAGUGGCGGACGGGUGAGGAAUACAUCGGAAUCUACUUUUUCGUGGGGGAUAACGUAGGGAAACUUACGCUAAUACCGCAUACGACCUACGGGUGAAAGCAGGGGAUCUUCGGACCUUGCGCGAUUGAAUGAGCCGAUGUCGGAUUAGGUAGUUGGCGGGGCAAAGGCCCACCAAGGCGACGAACCGUAGCUGGUGUGAGAGGAGGAUCGGCCACACGGGAACUGGGACACGGUCCAGGCUCCUACGAGAGGGAGCAGUGGGGAAUAUUGGACAAUGGGCGCGAGCCUGAUACAGCCAUACCGCGUGGGUGGAGAAGACCUUCGGGUUGUAAAGCCCUUUUGUUGGGAAAGAAAAGCAGCAGGUUAAUACCCCGCUGUUCUGACGGUACCCAAAGAAUAAGCACCGGCUAACUUCGUG